GACGAACCGUGCGAACGUUGUUCGGAAUCAUUGGGUUUAAAGGGUCCGUAGGCGGUUUUGUAAGUCAGUGGUGAAAGCCCAUCGCUCAACGGUGGAACGGCCAUUGAUACUGCAAGACUUGAAUUACUAGGAAGUAACUAGAAUAUGUAGUGUAGCGGUGAAAUGCUUAGAUAUUACAUGGAAUACCAAUUGCGAAGGCAGGUUACUACUAGUGGAUUGACGCUGAUGGACGAAAGCGUGGGGAGCGAACAGG
rnacentral:rRNA from 1 species